AACUUUUCCGUUAAGUAUUUCUGCAAAAUCAUGCCAGUCUAGACGUAGCCAAAGAUUGUGAGGCACUCAGAUAUCAUGGAUACCAUGAGCACGAUAGCACUAGACUAAUUUUAAAUUCUCGUAAAAGAUUGCUUAGUUUUCAAUGGCACAUGAUGUAAAAUCACAGCGUUAGUCAAGCUUGUUUAUUUUUUGAAUGUAGAAGGCUAAAUGUUAAUUACUAAUUACAUUUCAAAGAAGUUGCACAGUAGAAUAUCCUUAACUUCAAUAUGAUUUGACCAAUUGCUUUCAUCUUUUAGAGAUUCCAGUCUAUUCCAAGCAAAUCCCAACAUACUUACUCCGUACAGAGGGAUAGGAAUUUCUGGGCACAAGAUAAACUAGGUAGCUGCUGCAGAAUGCACGAAGCCCUUAGUUCCUGGAAAACUUCAUCUAACACAGAAUGCUGCAGCACAACUCAGCAUCACUGGCACCUAAUCAGGUCAGAUCUGUUGAUCCUUAUUAUGCUGCUUCCCGCAAAACAUGGCCCAAAUUCAAGGACUUGGCUUUUGUGUUUAAGGUGUUCAAUGGCCUGGCACCAGGGCAUGCAAAAGAUCAACUACAGUUCCAGGAUGAAGAUGUGGUUGACAACGUCUCUCCUCUGGACCCGAUGGAACUUUCCCCAAUAAGGCCAAUCCUCCCCCUAAGGAUGGACAUGUUGGAUGAGAAGAAAGAAGGCAUGUGUUGGGACAGGCAACUGAAGAAUCCUGGGAGUCUCCCAUAUAAAACAAGAUUCUAAUAAUUCCUCCCUAAGUCAGCUGCCAACCUCUGUUCAAGAUGACACCAACUUUUCUCCGUAUAUAUUGGCCAUUAACCCCAUCUCCAGUCAUUACCCACACAUAAAGUGACUUGCUCAAUCAACUAGAUGUUUUAGAGUUUUGUCUGUUCGAUCAAGAACUCCUCCUAAAUGGUAAGAACUAGGACCAUCCCAUUUGGUAUACAGCUGCCUCUGAUCAUCACUUAAAACAGUGUAAAGGUUGGUUGUGCCACAAAAAUGGAAUGUGUCUGGAAUUGGAUUUCUUCACAGAGCAGAAUCACCAAAUCAAGUACAGACCUCAAAACUGACAUAACUAAGCGAAUGUUAAAAGAGACUGAAUCAAGAUGAGCCAGAAAAAUAGUAUGAACCUGCAAUAGGAUUGCUUCUCAAUACACAUUGCAGAAAAGAGAAAAAGGGGAAAUGUGGAUCGUUCGUACUGUGUUUUGGCACAGCUAAAUCAGUUUAUGGUUUGAAAAAUAUAAGAAUGUUACUAGAGACCACAUUGACUAUAGCCCGUUGUUAGAACACAGUGAAUGAUAGGGAUGAAGAAAAGAUACACUAGAUGGAAUUCCCAUUUAAAAAAAAAAAAAAAAAUCGACAAACAUUAAAUGGACCACUUUUAACGCAGCCUUCAUAUUUAACAAGGCUAUACCUUUCUCACCACGCUGUUCUUGAAAGCAGAUGAUACAGUGCACAUAAAAAUUCUAUUUUCAAUUACUAAUACCUUAACUAUGAAGAUUGCCUCAGUUAGCUAGCUCUCGGUUUCAUUCAGAUUUUGCAUGUGACCUGUUUUAAAUGUAAUUUGUUUGCUUUCAUGAGAUUAACUUUACAUAAAUUGGUGCAUAAUUUC